GCGGCCCCAGGUCAGGCGGGAUCACCCGCUGAGUUUAA
rnacentral:rRNA from 1 species